rnacentral:lncRNA from 1 species
GGUCUAGUGAGUGAUUUUUAUUAACUGUCUUUUUGUUUCAGAGAGACAAGAGAUCGGUUUUUGUGGGGAAUCUCCCUUAUAAAGUUGAAGAAUCUGCCAUUGAGAAGCACUUUCUGGACUGUGGAAGUAUCAUGGCCGUGAGGAUUGUGAGAGACAAAAUGACAGGCAUCGGCAAAGGGUUUGGCUAUGUGCUCUUUGAGAAUACAGAUUCUGUUCAUCUUGCUCUGAAAUUAAAUAAUUCUGAACUCAUGGGGAGAAAACUCAGAGUCAUGCGUUCUGUUAAUAAAGAAAAAUUUAAACAACAAAAUUCAAAUCCACGAUUGAAGAAUGUCAGUAAACCUAAGCAGGGACUUAAUUUUACUUCCAAAACUGCAGAAGGACAUCCUAAAAGCUUAUUUAUUGGAGAAAAAGCUGUUCUCCUUAAAACGAAGAAGAAAGGACAGAAGAAAAGUGGACGCCCUAAGAAACAGAGAAAACAGAAAUAACAACCAGGAACUGCUUUUUCUUUUCCUGCUGAGUACUGCUAAUAAAAGUGCUAUUAUCUGCUGA